GUGCUAAUUUCUACAGCACAUAUACUAAAAUCAGAAUGAGAAGAUUAGCAGGGCCUCUGCACAAGGAUGGCACACAGAUUCAUGAAAUGUUCCACAUAACA
rnacentral:snRNA from 1 species